rnacentral:rRNA from 1 species
UUUUCCCUACGGGACGCAGCAGUGGGGAAUAUUGCACAAUGGGGGAAACCCUGAUGCAGCGACGCCGCGUGAGUGAAGAAGUAUUUCGGUAUGUAAAGCUCUAUCAGCAGGGAAGAUAAUGACGGUACCUGAGUAAGAAGCCCCGGCUAACUACGUGCCAGCAGCCGCGGUAAUACGUAGGGGGCAAGCGUUAUCCGGAUUUACUGGGUGUAAAGGGAGCGUAGGUGUCAUGGUAAGCCAGAAGUGAAAACCCGGGGCU